CGAGUGGCGGACGGGUGGGUAAUGCUUGGGAAUCUGGCUUAUGGAGGGGGAUAACGACGGGAAACUGUCGCUAAUACCGCGUAGAAUCGAGAGAUGAAAGUGCGGGACCGCAAGGCCGCAUGCCGUAGGAUGAGCCCAAGUGGGAUUAGGUAGUUGGUGGGGUAAAGGCCUACCAAGCCGACGAUCUCUAGCUGGUCUGAGAGGAUGACCAGCCACACCGGGACUGAGACACGGCCCGG
rnacentral:rRNA from 1 species